UCUCCCCCUAUUGGUAUUUAGAGCCCCCACCCGCCGCUCAAGGGUGGGGGCCAGGGGGGAGGACAUUAGGUCCCCCCUUAUUCCAAUUUAGGGCCCCCACCCGCCGCUGCGGGGUGGGGGCCAGAGGGGAGGACAUU